UCUUACAGAUGAGCAAAGAAAGUGGUUUCUUGAGAUGGAAUCUGCUCCUGGUGAAGAUGCUGUGAA
rnacentral:pre_miRNA from 1 species